CGCGGCCUAUCAGCUUGUUGGUGAGGUAACGGCUCACCAAGGUAUCGACGGGUAGCUGGUCUGAGAGGAUGAUCAGCCACACUGGGACUGAGACACGGCCCAGACUCCUACGGGAGGCAGCAGUAGGGAAUAUUGCACAAUGGGCGAAAGCCUGAUGCAGCAACGCCGCGUGCGGGAAGAAGGCCCUAGGGUUGUAAACCGCUUUCAGCAGGGAAGAAAAUGACGGUACCUGCAGAAGAAGGUGCGGCCAACUACGUGCCAGCAGCCGCGGUAAUACGUAGGGCGCAAGCGUUGUCCGGAUUUAUUGGGCGUAAAGGGCUCGUAGGCGGUUUGGUAAGUCGGGUGUGAAAACUCAGGGCUCAACUCUGAGACGCCACUCGAUACUGCCAUGACUAGAGUCCGGUAGGGGAGUGCGGAAUUCCUGGUGUAGCGGUGAAAUGCGCAGAUAUCAGGAGGAACACCAACAGCGAAGGCAGCACUCUGGGCCGGUACUGACGCUGAGGAGCGAAAGCAUGGGGAGCAAACAGGAUUAGAUACCCUGGUAGUCCAUGCCGUAAACGUUGGGCACUAGGUAUGGGAUCAUAUCAACGGAUUCCGUGCCGUAGCUAACGCAUUAAGUGCCCCGCCUGGGGAGUACGG
rnacentral:rRNA from 1 species